ensembl:lncRNA
ACACGGGAGCAGGCUCUGUCCUUAUCUUUGCUGACACUAACCACAUACAGUCUCUUCUUGCUCUUUGGUUUCUUCUGUGGGAAGUUGUAUUUUGACAUCGGAGAUAAACCAGACCAAACUCACCGGUCAUCGUGAGAUUCCUGGGAACAGCAUGGUGAGGAAAUCUUCCUUGGCUUCCUUGAAGCCAUUAAGUGCUUCAACCGCUCCAAAGGUAACCAGCUGCAGGAUAUUCUGAAUGACUGAAAACAUGAUCAAAAAACAACAGUGUGAGCCAGGGAAAACUCUGGCAGGAGAGCACCACCCACACAAAGAAAUACUUACUAAAUUCAUCUCGGAGACAGGAUAUCUGCUCAACUUAGGGGAGUUCUUUCUGCUCAGUGGGAAAAUCAACCGGAAGAUGUGCAGCAGUCAUAACAACACAGAGGUAAACUCUUCUCUUUAAACUGGUGGAAGUACUGCAACAUCCAUUCUCUUGCACUCAUGAAACAAAAUCAGUGUCUGAAGUAAGUGGCUUGUUGGUGUGUGCUGCAGGCAUGAUAGCAAGUAAUCUUGUGCAGUAGUCAGAGUCUCACACAUCCUUUCCUGCUGGGUCCCCAACUCUUCCUGGAAGAAACUGAGGAUGGAGCCUUUCACAUCCAGGAUAUUACAUGAAAGUUGCACAGAAAACUGAUAUAUCUCCAAUGACUCACCUGCACCUUUGGAAAAGUCAGAAUGACAUGGAUGAGAUGACCUACAUACACACCUUUUAGUCACAGUUACUCUUGAUGUUGAAAUCUGUUCAGCCUGCAUUUUUGCUCUACAGAGAGCAAAAGAGAAAGAGGACGAAUAUACAGUCUUCAGAGCAGCAGUGGUGACUGUCCUCCUCCUGGGCUCCUUCCCAGUCCCCAGAACAAUUGUUUUUGGGAAACCCAGGCUAUUUGUUUCCAUCUCCAUCAACUCCCUGUGAUACAAACUACUGCACUGUUUACUGGAAGAGCCUGAACAGAAAGUCUACAACUUCAUAUCCACUAGAGCUUGGUUCAGUUCUUUUGCAUUUACAGAAGGCUGGCAGUGAAAUAGCAAAUUGUAUAAUGAGCUUCAAAGGGUAGGUCAAGGGAAUGUGAGCAAUAACUGUUUAUAUAAGGGCUGGAAUGGGUAGGUCCUGGCAGUAAUCCAUGCGAGCACUGCCUGUUGCUCACUGCACAAGAAAGUGCUCCAAAUCAAGUACUUUGUACACACACUGCAGAAACUACCAGUUGAGUGGGGAAGUAAAUGUUGUUUUUGCAUAACAAUAAGAUGUUAUGACUCCAAAGAGAUCCAAACAAGAGCUCUGAAACAAGAUAAACUCCUGGUUUCGAAAUAGAAGACCUGCAUUUUAGAGUAACUCGGGGAAAUAUAUUGGUACAAAUCUGUUCUGUGGUUUGAAUGAUAGCCUGAGGAGAAGGUUAACUAUGAGAGAUUAUCCCAGCAUACCAUAAUAGGAAAAAACUAAACAAGAAUAGGAGGAGAACAGGGAGAGGUUAACCAAGCAGUAACAGGAGUGGGACACCUGCCAAAUAACUAGAAGCAUUUAGCAUAGAAGCUUUAAACCACGGAGUACUCAACCAAUUAGGAAAGGUGAGGGAAUUCAUGCCAGGGAGUAGGAAAUAUAAACUGUUGCAUCUCUCUGGUUGUACACACACCUUUUUGUCUUAAGGUUGCCCCUUCUUGCAAAAGCGUGAAAUAAAUUGUGAUUCAUACUGAAUUGUGCCUGAGCCUGGACUACUGAACAUGACCAUUGCUCACAGUAGUAAGUAUACUUUGAUGAUUUCCAAAGAUCUUCAGGAUUUUCAAGAGACAUUUCUGAGCAGACAAAAACUGAAACAUUUUCGAGAGGUUAUUCAUCCAUACGACACGCUUAGCAAAUCUGAAGAAAACAGCCUGUAAGAUCUCUCAGACUGCUCAUACAAAAUUUCAAAAGAUCUCUCAAUCUUAGGUGGGAGCUGGGGCAACAGAAUUCUUUCUACUGUGAGGAAAGAGCAAGUUCAAGACCACCUCAUGAGACUGAAAGUGUACAAGUCUAUGUGGUCAGAUGACAUGUAUCCCAAUGUCCUGAGGGAGCUAGCUGAUGUGGAUGCCAAGCUGCUCUCCAUCAUAUCUGAUAUGUCAUGGCUGUCAGGUGAAGUCUCUGGGCACUGGAAAAAGGGAAAUAUCGCUCCAUUUUUUAAGAAGGGUUGAAUGGAAGACCUGGGGAACUACAGGCAGGUGAGCCUCACCUCUGUGCCUGGGAAGAUCAUGGAGUGGAUCCUCUUGGAAGACAUGUUAAGGUCAUGCUGAUAUGAAAUGCAGAGACAGCCCUGAAAUCUGCUGAGGAACCACCCAGAAAGAGCCUGUACAUGCUCAAAUUUCUCACAUCCACCACGUAGCAAUGCAUUCUGCUAACAAGACCAACUAAAUGAACAUUUCUUUUGCUUGUACUUCAAAUUCUUCAUCAAAUGCUGUUUCAGUUUGCUCCACUGCAAUACUGGAAAAUGCCAGAUACACCUGGCAGUGUAGGAUAUAUGUAGCUCCCAGAAGUGCCCUGUACAUUUGCAAGAAAUGAAAUUAUUAAUUAUCUCUGUAUUUAUGUACCUAUUUGAUUCACAAGCUUGAUAGGUUCACUCUAGUGGCUGAUUUACGUGAAUGUUCCUGGGACUGCAUUACUGCAUAAUUAAUCUUUAUAGCAAAGUGGCCUUGUUUCCACAUGGAUGCUGCUUAAAAAAUUGCAUUCAUUUGCACUAUGGAGGCAUAGGCAAUAGGUGGAAAUAUCAAAAUGAGCUGUUCACUCCCUGUUCUGAAAUGGAUGAAAUCUAAAGCUAGUCUUCAUUUAGAUUGGAAGAAGAUGAUCCAGAGAUAUAGCACAGGAAAACCUCUCUGAUAUAAAGCUGGGAGGAGUGGCUGACACCAGAAGACUGUGCCUUCAGCAAGACUUGGACAGAAUGGAAAGUUGUGCAGGGAGAAACCUCAUUGAUUAACCUUGAUUAACAAGAGCAAGUGUAGAGUCUUGCUCCUGUGGUGGGAUAACCAUGUGCAUCAGUACAGGUUAGGGGAUGACCUGUGGAGAGGAGUUCUGCAGAGAAGGACCUGGGUAUUCUGGUGGACAAUGGGUUGGCCAUGAGCCAGCAGUGGGCCCUUGUAGCCAAGUAGGACAAUAGUAUUCUGGGGCACAUUCAAACGAGUGCGGCCAGCAUGUUAAAGAAGGUUAUCCUCCCUUUCCACUAUGCUCUGGUGAGACGACAUUUAGACUACUGUAUCCAGUUCUGGGCUCCCCAGUUCAAAAAAAAAAAAAACAGGGACCUCCUAGAAGGAGUCCAGCAGGGGGCCAUAAGGAUGAUAAAGGGCCUAGAGAUCUCCCUUAUGAGGAAAGAUUGGGAGACCUGGAUCUGUUCAUCCUGGAGAAAGAAGUCUGAGGGGGUAUCUGAUUAAUGUUUAUAAAUAUCUGAAUAGAGGUGGGAAGCAAAUGGAGGAGGCCGGGCUCCUCUUAGUGGUGCACAGCAAUAGGACAAGGAGUAAUGGCCUAAAACUUGAACAUAGGAAGUUCUAUGUAAAUAUGCUUAAGAACUUCUGUACGGUAGGGGUGACUAACCACUAGAACAGGUUGCCCAGAGAGGUUGUGGAGUCUCCUUCUCAGGAAAUACUCAAGACCUGGCUGAACAUCUACCUGUACAACUUAUCAGAGCAGGGGGCUUGGACUCGAUGAUCUCUUGAGGUCCCUUCCAACUCCUGAGAUUCUGUGAUUCUGAAACAGCAUGCAACAGAUCAGAUAUUUUUUCUUUUGAAACUGGACCUUAAAAAUACAUAUAUAUUUUUUGUUAUCCAAGGAAAUUAACCUGCUUUCUUCAGGUCAAAUAAAUUAUCUGUGGAUACUCAAAGAUAUUUUUGAUUAUUUUGCUUGGUUUCUAAUUGAGAUGGAGGAAGCAAUGAAUUGUUUUACCUAACAUGUAAUGCAGAUAGUCAUCAUACUAUCAAUGGGAAUGAAACAAUUUUUCCUUUUUUUGGUUUUGGUUUUGGUUUCAAAGAUAAAACGAAGAGCACUACUAAGUAGUACAAAAGAACCUUCUG